GCCCUGGUGGUGUAGCCUGGCCUAUCAUCUAGGACUGUCACUCCUAGGACUCGGGUUCAAAUCCCGACCAGGGCG
rnacentral:tRNA from 1 species